AUGUCAGUCACCUGCAGACCACAAGUCAGGCACACGCCAGAGCAGAUAAGCAGUUUCUAAAAGUUAAACAACUUCACUGAAAUGAACAGUUUCCUUUCUGCAAGAAUUUCUAUCACCCUGACUCAACACAGAGCCUGAGUACAGACACACAAUGAGCUCCGAGCAUCAGGCGACUUAAUUGUCCCUUCAUCACAGUCAUAAUGAUGGGAGCAUCAUCUUGCAGGUGACAUCUCCCUACCAGCUUCUUUGUUACGUCUCCAUUUUUAUGCAAUCUUGCUGUUAGUUUUUGCUGCCUCUGUAUGGUAUCUCUUUUGUGUUCUGUUCAAAAAUACUUCCUUUUUAAAAGCAUGAUUUGUUCUAGUGCUUUGAUACCAUCUCAAGUAGAUACAGCUGGAGCCAAACCACUUCCUGACC
rnacentral:lncRNA from 1 species